ACGAACGCUGGCGGCGUGCUUAACCCAUGCAAGUCGCACGGAAAGGCCCUGCUUUUGUGGGGUGCUCGAGUGGCGAACGGGUGAGUAACACGUGAGUAACCUGCCCUUGACUUUGGGAUAACUUCAGGAAACUGGGGCUAAUACCGGAUAGGAGCUCCUGCUGCAUGGUGGGGGUUGGAAAGUUUCGGCGGUUGGGGAUGGACUCGCGGCUUAUCAGCUUGUUGGUGGGGUAGUGGCUUACCAAGGCUUUGACGGGUAGCCGGCCUGAGAGGGUGACCGGCCACAUUGGGACUGAGAUACGGCCCAGACUCCUACGGGAGGCAGCAGUGGGGAAUAUUGCACAAUGGGCGGAAGCCUGAUGCAGCAACGCCGCGUGCGGGAUGACGGCCUUCGGGUUGUAAACCGCUUUCGCCUGUGACGAAGCGUGAGUGACGGUCAUGGGUAAAGAAGCACCGGCUAACUACGUG
rnacentral:rRNA from 1 species